AUCUUCCAGAUAGCAGCCUGAUUAACCAGGCUGAUGGCUGGUGACUUUUUAGUCACCAGCCU
rnacentral:sRNA from 1 species